rnacentral:rRNA from 1 species
GGAGUUAGCCGGUGCUUCUUCUGUGAGUGAUGUCCUUCCUGCCGGCUAUUAACCCGCAGGCCUUCUUCCUCACUGAAAGUGCUUUACAACCCGAAGGCCUUCUUCACACACGCGGCAUGGCUGGAUCAGGGUUGCCCCCAUUGUCCAAUAUUCCCCACUGCUGCCUCCCGUAGGAGUCUGGGCCGUGUCUCAGUCCCAGUGUGGCUGAUCAUCCUCUCAGACCAGCUACGGAUCGUCGCCUUGGUGAGCCGUUACCUCACCAACCAGCUAAUCCGACAUAGGCUCAUCCGAUAGCGCGAGGCCCGAAGGUCCCCCGCUUUCCCCCGUAGGGCGUAUGCGGUAUUAGCCUGGGUUUCCCCAGGUUAUCCCCCACUACCGGGCAGAUUCCUAUGCAUUACUCACCCGUCCGCCGCUCGCCACCAGGGAGCAAGCUCCCCGUGCUGCCGCUCGACUUGCAUGUGUUAGGCCUGCCGCCAGCGUUCAAUCUGAGCCAGANACAACUAACUCACUACGUAGCGGGCGGUCGGUCGACGACGGCGACUAG